GACAACCUUGACCCAGAGUCUCCAGUGAGAGCCGCCAUCUUCUCUCCUCAUGCAUAGUAACAGGUUUCACUGUGACAUCUUUUACAGUCACAGGACACAUAUGGGGAGAGGAUGGAAGGGCGGAAGAGCUGAAGGAUGAGGAGGAGCACUGUGAAUACUGUCCCCUGGGCACAGCAUGGCUACUGCACACAUGAACUCUCCGGGCACAGUAUGGCUACUGCACACAUGAACUUUCCGGGCACAGCAUGGCUACUGCACACGUGAACUCUCUGGGCACAGCAUGGCUACUGCACAUGUGAACUCAAGCAGCUCUGGUUACCUGCACCAGAUCAAGCCAGUUAAAAUUUCCAGAAUGGAGGGAGAGGAUUACCCAUAGCUCCACUCUAGCUGAGGAGCUCUUGAGGAACAACAUGACUUUUUCCUUACAACUGUGGCCAUUAGUAGGCUACCAUUACCCUAUGGAUGACGUCACAUUUAUAUGUAUAUCAGCAGCACUAAUUCAUAAUAUAUUUUGUACAUGUAUGAAUGUUCAAAGUUAAGUAAAUUAAAUGAUCAUAUAAAAUAAUCUAAGUUGGACAG